GUGAAAUUGAACUCGCUGUGAAGAUGCAGUGUACCCGCGGCAAGACGGAAAGACCCCGUGAACCUUUACUAUAGCUUGACACUGAACAUUGAGCCUUGAUGUGUAGGAUAGGUGGGAGGCUUUGAAGUGUGGACGCCAGUCUGCAUGGAGCCGACCUUGAAAUACCACCCUUUAAUGUUUGAUGUUCUAACGUUGACCCGUAAUCCGGGUUGCGGACAGUGUCUGGUGGGUAGUUUGACUGGGGCGGUCUCCUCCUAAAGAGUAACGGAGGAGCACGAAGGUUGGCUAAUCCUGGUCGGACAUCAGGAGGUUAGUGCAAUGGCAUAAGCCAGCUUGACUGCGAGCGUGACGGCGCGAGCAGGUGCGAAAGCAGGUCAUAGUGAUCCGGUGGUUCUGAAUGGAAGGGCCAUCGCUCAACGGAUAAAAGGUACUCCGGGGAUAACAGGCUGAUACCGCCCAAGAGUUCAUAUCGACGGCGGUGUUUGGCACCUCGAUGUCGGCUCAUCACAUCCUGGGGCUGAAGUAGGUCCCAAGGGUAUGGCUGUUCGCCAUUUAAAGUGGUACGCGAGCUGGGUUUAGAACGUCGUGAGACAGUUCGGUCCCUAUCUGCCGUGGGCGCUGGAGAACUGAGGGGGGCUGCUCCUAGUACGAGAGGACCGGAGUGGACGCAUCACUGGUGUUCGGGUUGUCAUGCCAAUGGCACUGCCCGGUAGCUAAAUGCGGAAGAGAUAAGUGCUGAAAGCAUCUAAGCACGAAACUUGCC
rnacentral:rRNA from 1 species